rnacentral:lncRNA from 1 species
AAACGCCUCGCCGCCGCAUGAAAAAGAGCCUCUCAGCCCCCUUGCACCCGGAAUUUGAAGAGGUCUACAGAUUCGGGGCAGAGAGCAGGAAACUACCGACCCAUUCUCCUUCUGCUUCUCUUGCCCUCUUCUUCACACCAAAAUAUGAUCGUGUCCCUGCCGCAGAAUAUGUAUUUCCUAAUUGCUGUGGCCAAACGCCUGUGUGCCGAAUCGCUUGCUUCUGAUCCCGCUCCGUGUAACCUAAGUGCGCUGCAGGCAAAGCCCAGGCCACGGCUGCGUCACUACUGAUGUUCACGAUGCCACACAGUCACACACCUAAUUCAUUCUCAAGUCGGAGCAACACAUACCAACCUUGACCUUAUCCUCAAGCUCCAGGGCAGCCUGGCCGAGCAGCCCCUGCUCCCUCCUGGAGACCCUUGUCACCUCCCGAGCUCCUCCUGGAGACCCCUGUCACCUCCUGACCAACCUUUCCCAGGGCGGCACCGAUCACCGAGCAGCCGUGCGUGUAUCUCAAGGAACUAAAUAAGAUGACGCUACUCCUCAUAGCACCACAACCUGAAUGUGUGUUCAUAUUUUUUUGUUAGUUUUAUCCAAAAUGUUUAAGAUCCCAACAAACUUUAUUUUCUAAACCUGCCUUCCUUCUGUUUUGUGUCUUUUAUUAAACAAACACCUGAAGGAGGGCUAGGAGACUGCAGGAGGGAGAGCAAUCACAGGUCCCAGAAGCGACUCCGGCCUCCUCCCGGCCCAGAGCUAGUCCUUAGAAUGUGCUGCGCUCCUGAGCUUCUGUGGGAAGCUGCUUUUGCCUCUGAUGGCCCCUGCCCACUGUGCUGCCCGUGCUAGCCCCUCUCCUCCCUCAUGGAGUGAAGCCACCCCUCACCUCCAGGUGGCCAGCCAGGGCUCCAGGCCAGCCUCAUGGUGCACAGAGGGAAGGGGUGCCCAGUGACCACUGGUCCUGGAGGUUCUGUGUCCUUACCUGACCCCACACAGACCCAGGCAGGCUGGGGGUAGAAGCUCAUGCAGGAACUAAACACUAAGCUCAACAACUUCACAGUCGCCGUAGCAGGUCAGAGCCAAAGAAGCUAGGGCCAGAGAGUUCUGGAAGGGGGAGAAGUGGCUCCAGGUGACUGGUCACUUCUGCUCUGUGCCCGACAUCAUCAGCCCUUCUUGCCAAAAAGGAGCAUCUGCUGAAACAGACCUGGAUCAUCGAAAACACACCUUUGGAAAUUACAUUAGGAUUCUCACUUGUGCCAAUGCUAUGUAUGCCAGGCACUUUUGCCUAAUCAAGUGUUUUCUCUGAGAAGGAAAAGAAAACUCCACACAUCUUAAAAUACUCUCCAAUAUUUACUUUUUGAUUAUAUAAAUUCCUUUUAAAAAGUAGUAUUAAAAACAAAACCAUUCAGGUUAAUUUGUAUGGAAAGAGAUUUAAGUGGCUGAUUUCAAAUGAAAAAUCAGUGUCAGUCCCCCUCCUGCCUCUUGAGAGGCCCCAAGAAAUGACAGCAGACCCGAUCACUCUGACAACCCCAGGCUCCGAAUUCAUUAAGCAGUUUUCUUCACCCAAAGGUUAAUCAGAAUUCAGGGUGAGGCAUACUCCUUGCAGCACCCAGUGAGAAAUGUGCCUCGUGGUAAAGAGAUCAGCUUCAAAAACCAAGCCGACUCCCAUGGCGUUCCUUCUCAUGGAGGUGGUGUAGACGGGGGUCCGGAAAGUAUUCUGCAAGGGAAAGGCAGGUGAGAUGCCCCCACGGAGAGAGGGUGCAGAGGGAUAAAGGCAGAGGUGCAGUGUAAGUCUUGACAGGCAGGGGCCCCUGUGCAAGACUGCACCUGAGAACACGCACAAGGCUGGGGCUGCUCAGGGCCACCCUCCGCCAGCUUCACGGGGACCUGGCUUCACACUGACACCCUGGUUAAAAGUGGGUCCUGGCCCAGGCAGAGCAGAAGACAUCUGCUGUCCACACCAGCGGGAACCACUUUAUGACUCAGGCAAUGUCUGCAGCAUUUUGCAAGAAGGGAGGGAGUCUCCCCUUGGUUAGUCUAGACCACAGGAUCACAGCUUGAGCCUGACACCUCUGGAAGGACCGGCAUCCACACACACAUACAGCCGCGCCUUUUCCAGGAAGCAGCUAUCCGUAGCUUUUAUCACGGCUCCAAGACUCUCCCCAGCCCAUAAAGCUUAGGCACCCCUGUUUUAAAAAGUAGGACUGUUGGAAACCACCUCAGCCAUAACUACAGUCAGAAGAGGAAGGGCCCUGGUGUCAGAGAGGAGGGGCUGGGACCUUCACCUGCAGCUUGAGGCGAUGGGCUUCAAUGGGGAUGAUCUUCAGGAUCGGCAGGUCCACAACCAGCACCUUGGGUUUGCUCUUGAUAAGACAUCCUUUUUCUAUAUCCCAGUCAGCACCUUCCAGGUACAGUCCUGAGACAAAGCAUCCUAGGGACACAAGGCAGAGACUGGAUACAACUGGAGCAUGCACAGCCUGCCACGGAGUGGCUCUAUCAGGCGCACACACAGCGACACACAGGCCACUGGCUGGCCUCCUCCCCAGCGCAUUGGGGACAGCCCAGGCCCUUCUCCAGCAUUUCUGUCCUGCCCACCUUCCCUCUGUGGAGGAGCAGCCCAGACAGGAGACCCUGUGGCCCUGCCCCAUGGCCCAGAGAAAUGGGUGUGGGGCGGUGGCCUCUCCCCCAGGAAUCCUCAUUCCUGGGGCAUCAAGGCCCACGGACUUAGACCACCCUGGGCCCCCAGGCUAGAAAGAUGCAUGGUCCCAGAGUCAGAAUGGGCACCAUGGCAACCCCAGCUACCCUGUGAGCCGAAGUGGCUGGGGAGCAGGAAGUCGAAGCCUCACAGAGAAAGUGGUCUCCGGGGAGGAGGACCCAGCAGAUGUGCAAAGAGAGGAACACACUCCUGUGGCCCCAGAGAGAGUGGUGGCCCGGACACCUGCCACCUCCCCUGCCACUGAGACCUGGAGAGUCCCUGCAUCUUUACCGUAAGUCCCCAGUCCUUAAGCCAUCUCAAAAGAGCUUUUGUUCCUUGCAGUUAAAAGAACUCUAAGACAACAUGGACCCGGGGAAACAGCAGUUUCCAGCUCUCAUUUGCACAGUCAGUAACCAAUGUCUAAGGGACCUGAAGUUCUGGCAUAAUCAAAGAGUUCCAACCAAGUUAGUCCAUGCUGCUCUGUGGCUCCCAUGCCCCUGGCCCCGUCAGGGGUUACAAGAAAGCCACCUGAUGGUUUUUGCAAGAGCUAAUUCUGACCUAGGAGCCCACUUGCCAUGAGCUAGCAGAGUGAACAUGGUUCAGGUCUCCCCUGCCAUAGACCCCAGGUCUCAACGGAGAAAGUGGAAGAGAAACUUCCGUAUCCACCCUCAGAGGUGUUAAGACAUGGGCAGUGCAGAGACACAGGAAAUAUUUGCAGCAGGCUGGCUUUCAAACAUGGCCUGGCCCAUUUAGGCCCACGCUAUGCCUGUCCCUUUGAGUUGGAGGUGGUUCAGGGAGAGAAAUCCUAAGUGAGAGGCUGUGGAUCCCUAACGAGCUGACGGUACCUUGUCCCGCCCGCUCAUUCACUUCAUCUGCAUCCUGGAACUUGGUCACUUGUGUGAACAAGGUGGAGCGGUCCAGUGGCCAGCCGUUCUUCCGGCAGGUGGCCUGCACCAGCGCCGUGAGGUAGGACUCAGGGAUGUGCAGCCCCGAGAGCCACAUCACGCUGGGCUCGCUCUCGGUCACCUGGAGAGAAGAGAGGACAAGUGCUGGGAGCCUGGGGCUGCCAUCCAAUGCCAGGUCAAAGCUGGCCUGGAAGUUUAGUUUAUGAUAAAAGACAUAUUUCACCUAAGUGGCAAAAGAUGGCGUUGGCACAACUGGCCGCCUGUCUGAGAAAAACAAUCUGGACUGCCACAUUCCAGGUAGAUCAAAGAUUUAGAUAUAAAAAUAAAUAAAACCACAAAAGUACUGGGCCACAUCUCCAAUGAAUGCUUUCAUAUCGUGGAGUAGGAAAUACAAAGCCCAGGAUAAAAAAGAAAAGCCUUGUAGGUUUGACUACGGAAAAAUGUAAAGCUUUUCUGUGGAAAAAAUACCGUAAGCAAAGUCAAGACUUAUGACAAGCUUGGAGAAAUACCUGCAACACUGGCAGACCAAGGGCUAAUUUCUUUGAUUUGCAAAGAGCUCUUAAACAUCAAUGAGAAAGAUGGAGACCUCACUAAAAAUGAAAUCCAGAUACAAAAGGACAAUUCACAGAAAAACAAACACAAAAUGUCUGUAAAGCAUGCAAAAUACGCUCAGACUCACCAUAAUUAAAGACAUGCAAAACAAUGAGAUAUUAUUUUCACCUAUCAGGGAGACAGUGAUCCAAAAUGUUAAGAACGCAGCAUUGCAGCGGAGUGAGGAAAGAAGCACUCUCAUAGACUGUGGUUUCAGCCUUUCUAAGAACCAUCCAACAAGAGCUAUCAAAAUUUAAAAUGCACAAGCUCUUUGAUCCAACUCUUCCACUGUCAGAAUUUACCCAUGGAAUAUACCCCUAUGCAUAUUCAUAUACAUGUGCACCAGAAUGUUAUUUGUAUUAGCAAAAAAAAAAAAAAAAUGGUAACCACCGAAAUGUAGGCAGUUACCAUAUUUUUAGGAUACAGAAGGAGGAGAAAGGAUAUGAAACAUUUGUACAAUGGCAUACUCUAAAAAAGAACGAGCUAGCUGUGUACUAAUAUGGAACAAGUGCCAAGAUAUACACUUAGAUAAAAUAAUCGGGUAUGUAAGAGUAUGCUUCAAAGUCUUCAAAAGAAAAGGAAAAACAAAAGAUACAGAUAGGCUUGUAAGAAUCUCAGACCAUUUCCAGAGCACCCAAUAAACUUUAACAGAGGUUACUGCUGGGCAAUGGAAAGAGGGGAUUGGGAGGUGGUUUGAGGAGUCUAGGCUGACACCUGAAUCGGCAGAGAGGAGGCGGUGACGUGCCACUUACCCACAACAUGUACUGGCUGAACCGCCGCAGGAAGUAGACCAUCCAGUUUCCAAGGGACUUUAAGGUGUCAGGAGCAAGCCUUCUCCAGAUAUUAGGGAUAUGCCCGAUAAAAAGAGACCUGGCCACAUCAUCUAACUCAUUGCUCAUUCCAACUUCUCCAGCCAAGGCCUAUUUAGAAUCAAGAGCAAUCGGGCAGGACUCUAUCAGAACCCCAGGUGCCACGUAUCUAGGCAGUAAUCUGCACAUGAGAGACAGGCUCACCCUUUGAAGUUCAGCCAGAGACUUCGUCAUCCGGACCACAAGCUUGUUGAAGCGUUCCAGUUCCUGCAGGAGCACCACCGAAGUGGGGGAGAGUCCUGUUCCGAGGCGCUUCCUCACCUGGUCCAAGUCAAAGACUUUGGGCAUCUUGUUUUCUAUUUCUUUGGCCACUUGGCCAAUAUAAUCAUCGCGGCUGAUACCACUGCUGGAUUCCCCUAAAACCAGGACACUUUUCAGAGAAAGCAAGGCAUCCACGUGCAGAACCGGAGCCUCCUGAGCCUUCCAGUUCUGGGAAAGGCAUCAGCAACGUGGGAGGGCUACAAGAAGCAAUCGUAAAACCCCAAUCAAACUAAUGAAGUCCUCCUGAGUAGAGUUUACCUGUCUGAGGCUGCAGCUCCAGCAGGUGAGCCCACAUGUCUCGAGCCGCCUGCGUGUAAUAGCCAAUCUCAGCGUUGGGGUGGAGACCAAACACUUCUGGCGUGUUGGCAAGCGGGAGGGCCUCGAUGGCUUCUGCAAUCACAGAGAACAACGGAGGUGGCACUGUCCAGCCACCUGUGCUUUCUCAGGGCCCACAGCCUCAAAGUCUCCAAGACAUGCAAGACUAAUUUCCACUGUUUAGAGGGUGACUUUUUUUUUUUUUGAGACAGGGUCUUAGUCACCCAGGCUGAAGUGCACUGACAUGGUCAUUGAUCACUACAGCCUCGACCUCCUGGGCUCAAGCUCUUCUCCCAUCUCAGCCUCCCAAGUAGCUGGUACUACAGGUAUUCACCACCACACUCAGCUAAUAUUUUUGUUUUUUGUUUUUUUGUUUUGAUUUUUUGUUUAUUUUUUGUAGAGAUGGGAUCUUGCUUGGUUGCCCAGGCUGGUCUUGAACUUCUGGGCUCAAGCGAUCUGCCCUUCUUGGCCUUCCAAAGAAGGGAUUACAGGUGCGAGCCACCAUGACCAGCCAAUGACAUGUUUUUAAUGUAAAAAUUCUACACUACCACACCCAGUCCAGCCGUAUGUUCAUCUUUUACGAAAAUGGCUCAGUGAGCUUCACUGUGGCCAUUCUGCCCUUCCAGGUGGAACCUGAUUUAUUUACCAUCAUUCCAGGAUGGGAAAUCUGAACUCUAUCAGUCAGCUCUGCAGCCAGGAAGCGUCUGCCGAGCCACCUAACAGGCUUAACAGACCACACCUGACCAGCCGAGGAGCCCCCACCAGGAGAGGAGCCGGUUGAAAUGUAUGGUCUCCCUUAGAAAAAGCCUUGAAAACAUCUUUUCAUGUCUGAGAAAUCUCACCAACAAAUUUCUCCUUUUCAUCACCAACAGGGAUUUUGUAGUCCACUUCCUUGUUCCGGAAGAAGUGGAAUGGCUGGAAAGUAUCAAAAAUGAAGUCCCCCAGGUACUCAUCCAUGUAGAUGGUCAGGAUGCGGCGAUCAAAGCUGUCGAUGGCCCGUCCUCCAUACAUGACCUGAAAUUAGAGGGCCUGAGAGCCAGCCAGGAGCUCAGAACCUACUGUGUGCACCCUGGGGGCCCGGGGCCAGAGGCUCACCCAGGGUCAAGAGACUCCAGCAGCCUGGCUGCUGCAAGGCUUGAACCUGUUGACUUGCAUAACCUUUCGGGCCACUGUUCACACAAUUGAUCUGUGGCUUUGCUGGCUUCCCAAGGGAUAGGGCCCAAAGCAGUAAGAAGCCCUCAGGAAGUGUUGGGAGCUCCUGUGCAGCAGGCAAAGUCCCCCAAACACAUCAAACAAACAGCUGAAGAAGCCAGCAGCUGCUUCUGUCUUUGGAAUUGAUGUCACUGCCUGAGCCGUGUGCAGACCACCGGGGAUGCUUCCUGUGAGCUCUGUAUACAGCAACAGCUGAGGCAAGGGGCUAGAGGAUGCCUUGCCUGGAUCCCCAGCCAUGGAUCCAGCUCAGGGAACCUCCAUGUGAACAGAGCUCACUUAGGACAAAGAACAACCAGGUGAGAGCAGAGAGAAUUGUCACAGAAACCCAAGGGGAACACAGGGGCAGAAGAGGCUGGUUCUGAGGGCUCAGAGGAAAAUAGGGGCACGAGGCCACAGCUCUGUAGCCCCAGAGGCACCUGCGGAAGGAUCCCCGGUCACCCCUACCUCUCCAAUUAGGUACUUGAGGCUGCCCCACGGGAUCCUUGGGUCCCGUUGCUGGAAGGCUUUCGUUAAGUACGUGUUCAGAAUUUCCAUGCAGACCUUGAAAGAAGAGAACACGCUCAGUUAUACUGAAACCCACCAAGCUGUUCACAUUCUGAUACUUUUCUGAAAAGGCUGCUGGGAACGGUGCAACCCUGCUGUGGUUGAACCCGGAGGAAAGUCGGGAGGAAGUGGGCCGCCUAAGGAAGCCAUUUCCAAGGAGAAGCAGCCACUGUCACCUGGAAGUCAGACUCAUUGAAGUCAUAGUACACGUUCCAGCCAAUCUUCCCAAACUUCCUUCUCUCCUGCACCACAGCAUGAAAGAACGCCAGCACGUAGACCAGCGGCUUGAAGGCAGGGUGCGGGCACUGGUCCAGCAUUUCGUGAGAGAUCUUGAAGUAAGUUGCCCUCAUGUUGAGUUUCAGCCCAUUGGGUGGCUCGGUGACAACCUUCAGAAGAGAAGAAAACACACAGUGAUGGAGACCGCAGGCCCACAAGCUUGGAAGAGUGUGCACAAUGCAGGCACUGCGCUUUCCUUCCUCUCUACGGAGCCAUCUGUCUGAGACCUCCAAUAGCUAAAGUCUCUUGUCCAGGGCCCAGGCUGAGAAGUUAAAGGACUAGAUGUUCUGGCUCUCAGGGUCAAGGGUCAAGAGUCUUUGACCUUCCUCUGAACCAUGAGAUCCUUUACUAUAUAUAAAAUGAAAGUAAAGUCUUCCCUCCACCUCCCCAGAGAGAGAGAGAGAGACAGAGAAUGACAAAACCUUUCCAAAAGAAUUUCCCGGAGAAUAAAUUAAAUGGGGCAUGUAAACCACGCGAAACUCCUGCAGUCAGCACUAGCGAACUGCAGGCUGUGUGUGGGGGGGGGGGCCGUGAAGUUUAUGAAAAGUAGCGUAGAUAUUGUUAGGGACACAUGCAGAAUUGGUAGAGAUAGGCCUGGGAGUCACAAACACCCAACCCAGGACAGCGGCUCCCUCUAAAGAGAGAGGUGGGAUUGAGAAGGGUUUCAACCGCAAGGUUUCACCUGCAGCCUAAGGUUUAUUUCUACACAGACAAAGGCACACCCCGGCCCCAGAGCAGCAUGCAGGUGUUCUGAGAAGCUGCGUGCUGGCAUGUUGAUGUCCAUCCUGAAGCCAGACCUUUAGGGACUUCUGCAGAAUCCCAAUGGGGAAGCCCUUGGUGGGGUCCGUGGUGAGCCACAGGCGGAAGUCUGGGUGGGGCUUGGUGAUCCUCUCCAGGGACUUCUCCAGAUCUUUCAGCCACUUGACCAGGAGGUGGCAGUUCUGCAGCAUCAGCCACUGCCCCCGAGCCACCGCCGUCUCCAGCAGCUGCAGGGCCACCUGCGCCGGGGGAGAGGGAAGAGGAGAGGGGUUGGCAUCCAAACCCAACCCCGUGCUCUCCAGAGACCCACUCCACACCCACAGAAGGGCGAUGGCAGCUCCAGCAGAAGCCAAAAGCAAGCCGAGGAUCCAGGAGCUACAGGUGGAGCCUUCAAAUAAACCAUCUUUGAGAAACCCCAUGGGCCCCGUGGGUGCACUGAGCUGGUCACACCCAGCCUGGAAGAUGGGUGAGCAUUUUGCACUCAUCUGCCUCCCUGGCCCUGGAAGUCCCAGCUCCUCCCACACAGUCGCUCCUGUCCCCUGAGGACUCCUGAGCAGGGCUGCAAGAGACCAGCUAAAGCCCACCAGGAAGUCGGGACUGUCCUGGCCACUGUAAGAUCUUCAGGGCCCUAGGCCUGGAAAACAAUCACCAUGUCCCCUCCCAAAUGUAAUUCAAAGCACAAACAAGCUAAACACCCAAAUCAAGCCUUGCUUUCUGAAAUGGCUUAAAACACAUGAGUGCUGGCGUUACAAUAGCUUAUUUCAGUGUUGUGGUUGAGAGAGCUGGCCCGCCUUGCUGGUGCCCAGGGCUUGCCUCCUGGGCCAUCCAGCAUGGGUAUUGCCAUCCUCAUCUCACCCAGGGGCUUUCAGCAGUAGAGGGGCUUACCCAAAGCCUCACAGUUCAUAGCAAAGCCAGGACUGGCAGUCAGCUCCCUCUGACCCCAACACGCAUGCCUGCAACCAUCACACUUACUGACGCACAGACUUUUCCUGCAAGCUUUGUCCCACAUUGUACUGAACUUGUGUAGCAAGUUCUAGCAGGGAGCACUGUGAUGCAGAGAGGCAAGACCUCAGCAAAGAAAGCUCACUGGCUCAGAAAGGUAGGAGGAUUUGCACCACAGUUCUGUCCUGAAUGGUCCUGGGCUCAGCCUCUCUCCACCCACUCCCUUGGCCAUGCAAUUGGGGCCAUAAUAAUCCUGAUCCACAAUGAGGCUGUUCAGGGACUAAGGAAGGUAAGGACUGUGUGUGAAAGGGCUUUGAAAACAGCACAGCCUGAGCAUCGUGUCUCAUGCCUGUGAUCCCAACACUUUGGGAGGCCGAAGUGGAAGGAUCGCUUGAGCCCAGGAGUUCAAGACCAGCCAGGGCAACAUGGUGACGUGUUUGUAUUUUUCUCUACAGAAAAUACCAAAAAAAUUAGCCAGGCAUGGUGACGCAUGCCUGUAGUCUCAGCUGCUACUGGGGAGGCUGAGGCAGGACGAUCACUUCACAAUCAGGAGGUCGAGGCUGCAGUGAGCUAUGUUCGCACCACUGCACUCCAGCCUGGGUGACAGAGUGAGACCCUGUCUCAAAAAGAAAAGAAAAAGGAAAAAAAAAGAAAACAGCACAGCACCAUGAUCACAACAUGAGGUUGUGAAAUCAUAACUAUUAUUGUCAUCUUCCCAGUGUUUCAUUACUGCUUCUUAGCUCGGAAAUGCAUCCAACUGAUUUGUGGCGUGGCACUCAGCUUAAACCCAGGUUAGCUCCUUCUUAGCAGACACCAGGGACCUCCCCUAAACGUAGAGCUUGUUCCUUUCAGCCACAAAUUACCUUUUCUUGACCUUGACCCAUUGCAAGGAAUUUGAGGCGAUUUCCUCCAAAACCACUUCGCUCUGCUAAUUUCAUAAGAUCAGUGGCAGGGUCGGAGCCAGGACUCAGGAUAAACACAAUGGGCGAAUGUGGAGUGCUCUGCUCAAAAAUAGCUUCAAAGCUGAUCAUUGGGGGCUGCACAUACCUGGUGAAAGAAACACAGUCAGAAAACUCUCCCGCGAGGACAGCUCCAGACCAGGGGCUGGUCUGUCUGAUCAGCGCUGCCUCCUCCGGUGUCCAGAACCUUCUGACCACUCCUCUGGGAUAGCUCGUUGCAGUCUUCCCUGUUUUAGAUUCUAGUUUCUAUGCACGUCUCCCACCCUGAUGGGGAACUCCUGAGUGGCAGGGACUUCUCUGUACCCCCUCACACUCGAUUCAGUUGGUUUGUGCUGAGCUGGGCACCUCAGCUUGCCCUCUAGGUGGGCCUGCCCAUGGCACAAAACCCUGAGGUUCCACAGGCGUGUCCUGAAUGGUCCACAUCUUGAGUUUUGAGUUUUGUGUUUUGUGUGUGGGUUUUUUCUUUUUCUUUUUUUUUUUUUUUUUUAAAUUGAAAUAUAUAAUCUCACUCUGUUGCCCAGGCUGGAGUACAGUGGUACUAUCACAGCUCACUGCAGCCUCAAACUCUUGGGCUCAAGCAAUCCUCCCACCUCAGCUUCCUUAGUAGCUUGACUACAGGUGUGCACCACCACGCCUGGCUAAUUCUUUUUUAUUUUUUAUUUUUUAGAGGCAGUAUCUCACUAUGUUGCCCAGGCUGGGUCUCGAACUCCUGGCCUCAAGCGAUCCUCCCACAUCAGCUUCCUGAAGUGCUGGGAUUACAGGUGUGAGCCACCGCACCUGACCCAGAUGUGCGUUUUAAAAUUCAUUGCAAACACAAAGAUAUUGGGAUAUUUCAGGAAAAAAUCUGAAGUCCUAGCUUCUUUCAGAGUCAGAGGAUCCAGCCACUGUGGGUUCCCAAUGGCACCUGGUAUCAGUCAGCAGGAGCUAAGGGCAGCUGCCCAGGGACCAGGACCCCACCCAGCCUCAUCACUCACUGCCAUGGCCUGCUGGCUACAAGGGCACAUCUGAGCUGCAGCCCCACACGCUCCGCCUGGCUUCGUACCCCAUGCUAGAGCUACAUUGUCCAGUGCGAUGGCCGUGAGGCACAGCACUUAAAAUGUGGCUAGCCCCAAUUGAGAUGUGCUGUAAGUGUGAAUUCACACAGGAUUUUGUAGACUUAAUACCAGAAAAAAGCAUGUAAAAUGUCUCAAUCAUGUUCAUAUUGAUUAUACAUUCAAAUGAUAAUUUUAAUAUAUUCAUUUAAAUAAAAUGUUAUUACA